rnacentral:lncRNA from 1 species
AAUUGUGCAAAAUCCUUUUCGAGUGAUAAAUAUUUAAACAGUUUAUUUGUUUUCGCAAAAAGUUUCCUGAACGGUAGUAUAUAAUUCAAUGAGGUACCAUCUACUCAAAUAAGAUUUUAUCCGUUAUGAAUAAACUAAAAAUAAACACACAUAGAUGUACUGUCAAACUUCUGUAAGAUUGUCGUUUACUGCAGCAGCAGUGUAAUGAAUAUGUUAAGUGAUAUUUGGAAUGGAAAAAAAGAGUAGGAAGAAUAAUGUUUUCACAAAGGAGGCAGUGUCAGUAAAGGUUCAUGAUUGUAUUGCAUCGCUACUCGGAGCAAAUACGUUCGAGCCAUAUAACAGAGAAACUGAACUAUUGUAUCGAUAUAUAUAUUAUAUACCUCUUAUUUUUUUUCAUAUUUGAGUUGCUGCCUCAUUGACGUUCACCAGAUACCUUAAAUUAUUGAAAUUAAAUGUUUUGUUUCAAUUGCGUUUGUAAUGUUUAGUUACGCAUAUGGUCUUGCAAUACUCAGGAAAAAGCUUGAUAUUCAUGGCCAAUCCAUACAGUGUUUUAGCUGUUUCAUAUAAUUAUAUUCACAUGUGAUGGCUACUAAACUAGUCAAUAUUUCUUUUAGAUGUUUAUUAUAAUUUUUUUAAAAUGUGGUUUAACUUUCAAUGCUUCUGUAUAAAGGUGAAUAAAAAAGAGAACAUUAUUACAACGACAUCCUGGUUUCGAAGCCAUCUUGAUUGAACUAUAUAUAAUGCUAAUGACCCAUAGAACACUUGUCUUGUCUUUUGACUAAAUGAUGAUGGUGAUGUUUAAUAACUUUAACUGACUAAACAUCCCUCGAAUGGUCUUUUGACAGAAAUUACCAAUUUGUUAUUCGUAUACUUAAGUUGGCUUGUUGUAGAAAAAUGAAACUUGUAAAAAGUACAUAAACAGUUCUUUAAAUAUAAGUCAGAUCUUUUUUUAUCAAGAUUUAACAAAAAGAAAGAAAGCUUUACAUAUUAACUUAAAUGAUGAUGAAACUGACGAUGAGUCGGACAUUACAUAUCUUAAAGACACGUACGAAGUCCAGAAAUACUGUAAUAGCAGUCCGAAUCGUAUUAGAUAACCAAAAUAGAAACGUUAGAUGUUAGACAUAGAUAUUUCUCUUUAUAUUUGUAUUUUAUUUCAAAGC